rnacentral:rRNA from 1 species
AGUGAACGCUGGCGGCGUGCCUAAUACAUGCAAGUCGAACGGAGAUUAAGUAGCUUGCUAUUUAAUCUUAGUGGCGCACGGGUGAGUAAUAUAUAGCUAACUUGCCCAUUACUAAGGGACAACAGUUGGAAACGACUGCUAAUACCUUAUACUCCGUAUCUAUAUAAGUAGAUACGGGAAAGUUUUUCGGUAAUGGAUAGGGCUAUAUCGUAUCAGCUAGUUGGUAAGGUAAUGGCUUACCAAGGCUGUGACGCGUAACUGGUCUGAGAGGAUGAUCAGUCACACUGGAACUGAGACACGGUCCAGACUCCUACGGGAGGCAGCAGUAGGGAAUAUUGCUCAAUGGGGGAAACCCUGAAGCAGCAACGCCGCGUGGAGGAGGACACUUUUCGGAGCGUAAACUCCUUUUCUUGGGAAAGAAUUAUGACGGUACCCAAGGAAUAAGCACCGGCUAACUCCGUG